rnacentral:tRNA from 1 species
UCCGAUAUGGUGUAGUGGCCAACAUGAUGCCCUCUCAUCUCUAUAUGAGAGGUUAGGCAUAGCCCCGAGCCGAGUUCGAUUCUCGGUUUCGGAA